CGUAUCAUUAAUGCGGAAAAUGAUGGCCGACUAAGCAACUUGGAAAUGGUGGUGGAGAUCGAUCUCUUCCAAAUAAAUAUGAUUUAGCUUGUUAGGUCAUCUGCUCACCACAUAGGCUAGUUGGGUCAUUGGUUUGUAAUCGUACAAAAGCUAAUCUGAAUGUUCGGCCACAAGGACGAAGGUUCUGGUACAUUGGUUUAACUAGCAAUCCCACGACAGCAGAAAUCCACCUUGGAUUGCGAUGAAGCUCUUUGGCAAAUAUGUAACGACCCGGCAGAUAGUGGUCGCUGCAUCAGGGCUUUUGUUCUUGGGGUCGACCACAUAUGAUGUCCACAGAGCCAUCAAAAACAACGAGACGCCUCCUUCCAAAGAACAGAUCCAAGCUCUGGAAGAUUAUUUAAGAUCCAUCCGUCGAUCCUCGAUUUUAUAAAGAGGAAAGUACAAGAACGAUUUCAAAAGCAGGAUUUCUCAUCUCCAAACUAUUUGGUUCGCUCCUUUCUACAUGAUCUUGACAAGCACUAGGGGGCAGGACCUGAGGUUGGAGGAACUGUUGCAAGUAUCGGUUUCUAUAUCGUAUAUAAACGCUGCAUGAUACGCAGUAUCGGCCAAUAAGCGACGGCCUGUAACGAGCUAUGUCGGCGGCAAUGAGUUAAGAAAGAAACUAAAAAACCCUUGGAUCUUUUUGUUUUCCCCUGAUUUGUUGUGCAUCGAGACGGGUCAAGGGGCAGAGUAUUAAAAAAAAGUGGGUUUAAGCGUCGAAGAUGAUGUUAUACGCGAGUCCCGUGUGGAUCAUCAAGAGACCAGCAUAAGCAAAAUGAAGUCAAAUGAAUGAAGGCGCUUGCAAUAAGUUCUUUAGAAGUUUCUCUCAUCUACUCUGAAACCUCAAAAGUCCUGUAUAUUUUUCGACCUUUCAUUAAAAAAGGGUUUUUUGAAGAAACCUGAUUUCACUUGUUCUGGGAAAUGCGGCGAAGUAGAAAGACCCUUCCAUGCGUCAUGGAAUCAUCCUACACCGGUUGUUUCGUAACCCUCUUUUGCACGUGACCUUCUAUUUGGUCCACAGUGUAUUCAUAAAUCCAAAAGAUGGAGGUUUCAUUGGGGUAUUGGCUAUGUCGCUUUUGGUGGCACAUCCGAUCAUGAGAAACAAUGUAUUUUUUAGAUGGCAGGCUUAUGAUUUCCAUGUUUUGCUUUUUAAUCUCUGGGUUGAAGCUACAGUAAUUGCAAAGGUUUUUGGCAUCCUGACAUCUUA